GAUGAACGCUAGCGACAGGCUUAACACAUGCAAGUCGAGGGGCAGCAUAAAAGUAGCAAUACUUUGGUGGCGACCGGCGCACGGGUGAGUAACGCGUAUGCAACCUACCUAUCAGAGGGGAAUAACCCGGCGAAAGUCGGACUAAUACCGCAUAAAACAGGGGCACCGCAUGGUGAUAUUUGUUAAAGAAAUUCGCUGAUAGAUGGGCAUGCGUUCCAUUAGGUAGUUGGUGAGGUAACGGCUCACCAAGCCGACGAUGGAUAGGGGAACUGAGAGGUUGGUCCCCCACACUGGUACUGAGACACGGACCAGACUCCUACGGGAGGCAGCAGUGAGGAAUAUUGGUCAAUGGGCGAGAGCCUGAACCAGCCAAGUCGCGUGAAGGAAGAGGGAUCUAUGGUUCGUAAACUUCUUUUGCAGGGGAAUAAAGUGCGGGACGUGUCCUGUUUUGUAUGUACCCUGAGAAUAAGGAUCGGCUAACUCCGUGCCAGCCGCCGCGGUAA
rnacentral:rRNA from 1 species